UACGUAGGGUGCGAGCGUUAAUCGGAAUUACUGGGCGUAAAGCGUGCGCAGGCGGCUCUUCAAGUCAGGUGUGAAAGCCCCGGGCUUAACCUGGGAAUUGCGCUUGAAACUGAGGGGCUAGAGUGUGGCAGAGGGAGGUGGAAUUCCUGGUGUAGCGGUGAAAUGCGUAGAUAUCAGGAGGAACACCGAUGGCGAAGGCAGCCUCCUGGGCCAACACUGACGCUCAGGCAAGAAAGCGUGGGGAGCAAACAGG
rnacentral:rRNA from 1 species